UACGGGGGGAGCAAGCGUUGUUCGGAUUUACUGGGCGUAAAGGGCGCGUAGGCGGUCGUGACAAGUCACUUGUGAAAUCUCCGGGCUUAACUCGGAACGGUCAAGUGAUACUGUCGGACUAGAGUACAGAAGGGGCAACUGGAAUUCCUGGUGUAGCGGUGGAAUGCGCAGAUAUCAGGAGGAACACCGAUGGCGAAGGCAGGUCUCUGGGCCAUUACUGACGCUGAGAAGCGAAAGCAUGGGGAGCGAACAGG
rnacentral:rRNA from 1 species